AAAGGGUGCGUAGGCGGCCUAAUAAGUCAGUGGUGAAAGCCUCCAGCUUAACUGGAGAACUGCCAUUGAUACUGUUAGGCUUGAGUAUACUUGAGGUAGGCGGAAUUGACAGUGUAGCGGUGAAAUGCAUAGAUAUUGUCAAGAACACCAAUUGCGAAGGCAGCUUACUAAAUUAUAACUGACGCUGAGGCACGAAAGUGUGGGUAUCAAACAGGAUUAGAUACCCGAGU
rnacentral:rRNA from 1 species